rnacentral:rRNA from 1 species
GACGAACGCUGGCGGCGUGCUUAACACAUGCAAGUCGAGCGGUAAGGCCCUUUGGGGUACACGAGCGGCGAACGGGUGAGUAACACGUGGGUGACCUGCCCUUCACUCUGGGAUAAGCCUGGGAAACUGGGUCUAAUACCGGAUAUUCACUUUUGGUUGCAUGACCGGGGGUGGAAAGUUUUUUCGGUGGGGGAUGGGCCCGCGGCCUAUCAGCUUGUUGGUGGGGUGAUGGCCUACCAAGGCGACGACGGGUAGCCGGCCUGAGAGGGCGACCGGCCACACUGGGACUGAGACACGGCCCAGACUCCUACGGGAGGCAGCAGUGGGGAAUAUUGCGCAAUGGGCGGAAGCCUGACGCAGCGACGCCGCGUGGGGGAUGACGGCCUUCGGGUUGUAAACCUCUUUCGACCUCGACGAAGAGUGAUUGACGGUAGGGGUGGAAGAAGCACCGGCCAACUACGUGCCAGCAGCCGCCGUAACA